AUUGAACGCUGGCGGCAGGCCUAACACAUGCAAGUCGAGCGGAUGAGUGGAGCUUGCUCCAUGAUUCAGCGGCGGACGGGUGAGUAAUGCCUAGGAAUCUGCCUGGUAGUGGGGGACAACGUUUCGAAAGGAACGCUAAUACCGCAUACGUCCUACGGGAGAAAGCAGGGGACCUUCGGGCCUUGCGCUAUCAGAUGAGCCUAGGUCGGAUUAGCUAGUUGGUGGGGUAAAGGCUCACCAAGGCGACGAUCCGUAACUGGUCUGAGAGGAUGAUCAGGCACACUGGAACUGAGACACGGUCCAGACUACUACGGGAGGCAGCAGUGGGGAAUAUUGGACAAUGGGCGAAAGCCUGAUUCAGCCAUGCCGCGUGUGUGAAGAAGGUCUUCGGAUUGUAAAGCACUUUAAGUUGGGAAGAAGGGCAGUAAGUUAAUACCUUGCUGUUUUGACGUUACCGACAGAACAAGCACCGGCUAACUUCGUGCCAGCCGCCGCGGUAAUAC
rnacentral:rRNA from 1 species